rnacentral:rRNA from 1 species
UACGUAGGGUGCAAGCGUUGUCCGGAAUUAUUGGGCGUAAAGAGCUCGUAGGCGGUCAGUCGCGUCUGCUGUGAAAACUCGGGGCUUAACUCCGGGCCUGCAGUGGGUACGGGCUGACUAGAGUGCGGUAGGGGAGACUGGAAUUCCUGGUGUAGCGGUGAAAUGCGCAGAUAUCAGGAGGAACACCGGUGGCGAAGGCGGGUCUCUGGGCCGGACCUGACGCUGAGACGCGAAGGCGUGGGGAGCGAACGGG